rnacentral:rRNA from 1 species
UACCAGCACCCCGAGUGGUCGGGACGAUUAUUGGGCCUAAAGCAUCCGUAGCCGGCCUUACAAGUCCCCCGUUAAAUCCAACUGCUUAACAGAUGGGCUGCGGAGGAUACUAUAAGACUAGGAGGCAGGAGAGGCAAGCGGUACUCAGUGGGUAGGGGUAAAAUCCGUUGAUCCAUUGAAGAACACCAGUGGCGAAGGCGGCUCACUGGCCCGGUACUGACGCUGAGGUGCGAAAGCGUGGGGAGCAAACAGG